AAGCGACUCUGCGCGGCCCGAGCCUGGACGGCGGCUCCGAAGGACCAAAAAUUUUUCCCUAGUCCUUUCUCGUCCAAGCUAAAGUUCCUGUGGACUUCCCAGGAAAACGACAGUGUCCGGAAGCCUCUGCAAUGCCCUCUUAGGAUUGUCCAAGAAGAUGGCGAAACAUUUGCAGGCAGCGAUAGGAGUUGAGGGAAUGUGCGGGCUGAAACUAAGGUUUUUUUCUUUUGUUUUGUUUCGUUUUUGAGACGGAGUCUUGCUCUGUCGCCCAGGCUGGAGUCCAGUGGCGCGAUCUCGGCUCACUGCAACCUCCGUCUCCCGGGUUCCAGAGAUUCUCGUGCCUCAGCCUCGCGAGUAGCUGGGAUUACAGGCGUGAGCCACCACGCUUGGUUAAUUUUUGUGUUUUUUGUUUGUUUGUUUUUUGAGACGGAGUCUCUUUCUGUCGCCCAGGAGUGCAGUGGCGCGAUCUCGGCUCACUGCAACCUCCGCCUCCUGGGCUCAAGCGAUUCUCCUGCCUCAGCCUCCUGAGUAGCUGGGAUUACAGGCGCCCGCCACCACGCCCGGAUAAUUUUUUGUAUUUUUAGUAGAGACGGGGUUUCACUAUGUUGGUCAGGCUGGUCUUGAAUUCUUGACCGCGUGAUCCGCCCUCCUCGGCGUCCCAAAGUGCUGCUGGAAUUACAGGUGUGAGCCACCGCGCCCGGCCAAUUUUUUUUUUUUUUUAUUUUUUAGUAGAGACGGGGUUUCGCCAUGUUGGCCAGUCUGGUCUGGAACUCCUGACCUCAAGUGAUCCGCCCUCCUCGGCCUCCCAAAGUGCUGAGAUUACAGAAGUAAGCUACCGCGCCAGGCCUGAAGCCAUGGGUUUUGAGGGGUGUUUAUUUGUUUGUUUGCUUAGAGAUGGGGUCUUGAUCUGUCGCCCAGGCUGGAGUGCGGUGGCGCGAUCAUAGCUCACUGCAGCCUCCAACUCCUGGGCAAGUGAUCCUCCUGCCUCAGCCAACCCAAUAGCUGGGAUUACAGGCGCGAAGCCCACUGGUUUUUAGGUUUCAUGUUGCCUCUCCCACCCCCUCUCCUUCCAGGGGACUGGGGAACGGUGGAGGCUCAUAUAGACCUGAAAGGGGCACGAGGGAUCCUCCCAGGUUGCUGGAAUCUCUAGUAUCUUUACCUAGGUGGUAGAUACGUGGAUGUCUACAUUUUUUAAAAAAAUCAAUUAGACUAUUACAUUUUUAUUUUAUUUUGAGACAGCUUUUCACUCUUGUCACCCAGGCUGGAGCGCAAUAGUGCAAUCUCAGCUCACUGCAACCUCCACCUCCGGGUUUCAAGCUAUUCUUCUCCCUUAGCCUCCCAAGUAGCUGGGAUUACGGGCGCCUGCCACCACACCCAGGUAAUUUUUGUAUUUUUAGUAGAGACGGGUUUUCACCAUGUUGGUCAGGCUGGUCUCGAACUCCUGACCUUCAGAUGAUCCACCCGCCUCUGCCUUCCAAAGUACUGGGAUUAACAGGCGUGAGCCUCCACACCCAGCAACUAUUGCAUUUUAUUUUACUGUAUGUAUGUAAUACCUUAACCACACACAAAAAAUUACCUUGUUCAAAUUUUCCAGAAUUAGAAUUCUACCAGUUCCCCAAAGUCUUGCUGUUUCUCCAUGCCCCUUAGCCCUUACCAGCUGCUAGAGCUGUCUUUUCAUCCUUUGCACCCUGGCACACUCCUACUCAUCCCUCAGAACCCAAAUGUCACCUCUUAUCUCUAAAAUGUUCCUUGACAUCCUUCUGCCAAAUACUAGCCCCUUCCUCUCUGUUUACAAUGCAGAUUCGGUCCUAGUGAAUUACUGUUAUUUUCUACUCUGCCUCACUCAUGAAGGCACAAGACUUGAUUUACAUACGCUGUCCUCUUCAGGCCCUGCCACAGGGCCACAGAAGGACCUCACACAUUUCAUGUCAAUUGAGGUCACUGGACUGACCUGGGAAUGAGGAGCCUGGGUUGUUACUCCACUUUUGCACAUAGAUGUGUGACCUUGAUUAUUUUCCACCACGUCCUGGCCUCGGUUUCCUUAUCUGUUAAAAGGGAAUGACACCACAGGCCUUGCAAAAUUGAAGGGAUUAUUUCUUUGAAGACCAACAGGCGAUAGGGGGCAGUAGUGUCCCAGGAUCCAGUUUCCCGCUUCAGGUUUCAAGAAACAGGAGCAGCUGCAGUGAUGAAGUUUUCCCGACUAUGACAGUGUACAGUUGACCUUGAACAACGUGGGGGUUUGGGGCACCGACCCCUGCACAGUCCAAAAUCCUGGGGUCUUUUUUUUAAUUUGACAUGGAGUCUCCCUCUGUCGCCAAGGCUGGAGUGCAGUGGCGCGAUCUCAGCUCAUUGCAACCUCUGCCUCCCGGGUUGAAGCAAUUCUCCUGCCUCAGCCGCCCAAGUAGCUGAGAUUACGGGCGCCCGCCACCAUGCCCGGCUAAUUUUUGUAUUUUUAGUAGAGACGGGGUUUCACCAGGUUGGCCAAGCUGGUCACGAACUCCUGACCUCAGGUGAUCCACCCGCCUCGGCCUCCCAAAGUGCUGUGAUUACAGGCAUGAGCCACUGCGCCUGGCCUCAUUUUUGACUCCCCAAAAACAACUUUUUUUUUUUUUUUUUUUUUGAGAUGGAGUUUUGCUCUUGUCGCCCAGGCUGGAAUGCAAUGGCACGAUCUCGGCUCACUGCAACCUCCACUUCCCAGUUCAAGCAGUUCUGCCUCAGCUUCCUGAGUAGCUGGGAUUACAAGUGCCCACCACCACGCCUGGCUAAUUUUUAUAUUUUUAGUAGAGACUGGGUUUCGCCAUGUUGGCCAGGCUAGUCUCGACUCCUGACCUCAGGUGAUCUACCCGCUUUGGCCUCCCAAAGUGCUGGGAUUACAGGCGUGAGCCACUGCGCCCAGCCCAAAAACUUAACUAUUGACAGCAUACUGUUGACCAGAAGCCUUACCAAUGACAGUUGAUUAGCAUUUUGUUUGUUUGUUUUUCGUUUUUGUUUUGAGAUGGAAUCUCGCUCUGUUGCCCAGGCUGUAGUGCAGUGAUGUGAUCUCGGUUCACUGUAACCUCUGCCUCCUGGGUUCAAGUGAUUCUCCUGCCUCAACCUCCCAAGUAGCUGGGACCACAGGCACCCGCCACCAUGCCAGGCUAAUUUUUGUAGUUUUAGUACAGAUGGGGUUUCAACAUGUUGGCCAGGGUGGUCUCGAACUCCUGGCCUCAAGUGAUCCACCCACUCUGGCCUUCCAAAGUGCUGGGAUUACAGGCAUCAGCCACUGUGCCUGGCCAAUGACAGUUGAUUAGCAUAUUUUGUAUGUUAUAUAUAUUACAUGCUGUAUCCUUACAAUAAACCAGAGAAAAGAAAUUGUUAUUAAGAAAAUAAUAAGGAUGAGAAAAUAUAUUUACUCUUCAUGUAGUGGAAGUGACUCAUGGUAAAGCUCUUCAUCCUUGUCAUCUUUAUGUUGAGUAGGCUGAAGAGGAGGGGAGGAGGAAGGGUUGGUCUUGCUGUCUUGGGGGGUGGCAGAAGUGGAAGAAGUGGUGGAGGUGGAAAGAGAGAGGCAUGAGAGGCGGCAUACUUGGUGUAACUUUUAUUUAUUUAUUUAUUUUUAUUGAGAUGGAGUCUCGCUCUUUCGCCCUGGCUGGAGUACAGUGGCUCAACCUCGGCUCACUGCAACCUCUGUCUCCCAGGCUCAAGAGACUCUCCUGCCUCAGCCUCCCAAGUGGCUGGGAUUACAGGCGCCGGCCACUAUGCCCGGCUAAUUUUUGAAUUUUUAGUAGAGACAGGGUUUCACCAUGUUGGCCAGACUGGUCUCGAACUCCUGGCCUCAACUGAUCCGCCUGCCUCCGCCUCCCAAAGUGCCAGGAUUACAGAUGUGAGCCACGGUGCCCAGCCAGGUGAAAAAAAUCCAUAUAUAAGCGGACCCAUGCAUUUCAAACCUGCGUUGUUCAAGGGUUAACUGUAUUAUUGAACUGAAGAGUUCUACUGGUGAUCCCCUACUUCCCCAUCUUCCAGACUGGCAGACAUCCUGCUUUCCCUGGCAGGUCAGUUCUGUAAUGUGACUCCAGUGCCGUCACUGGAGGGAGACAGCCUAGAGCCUCUUCCUCUAUCCUUAACAACACAUUGAUACGCCUGUUUCCCGGAUGUCUCUUUCAACUGAUAAUAUCUUUUUUUUUUUUUUUUUUUUUGAGACAAGAGUCUUGCUCUGUCGCCCAGGCUGGAGUGCAGUGGCGCGAUCUCUGCUCACUGCAAGCUCUGCCUCCUGGGUUCACACCAUUCUCCUGCCUCAGCCUCCCGAGUAGCUGGGACUACAGGCGCCCGCCACCAUGCCCAGCUAAUUUUUUGUAUUUUUAGUAGAGACGGGGUUUCACCGUGUUAGCCAGGAUGGUCUUGUGGUCUUGAUCUCCUGACGUCGUGAUCCACCCACCUUGGCCUUCCAAAGUGCUGGGAUUAUAGGUAAGAGCCACUGCGCCCAGGCUUUUUUUUUUUUUUUAACUUGAGAUGGAGUCUCGCUCUGACUCCCAGGCUGGAGUGCAAUGGUGCGAUCUCAGCUCACUGCAACCUCCGCCUCCCGGGUUCAAGUGAUUCACCUGCCUCAGCCUCCCAAGUAGCUGGGAUUACAGGUGCAUGCCACCAUGCCCAGCUAAUUUUGUUUUUGUAUUUUUUAGUAGAGACAGGGUUUUGCCAUGUUGGCCAGGCUGGUCUCGAACUCUUGACCUCAGGUGAUCUGCCCACCUCAGCCUCCCCAGAAUGCUGGGAUUACAGGUGUGAGCUACUGCGCCUGGCCUCUGCUGAUAAUAUCUACAGAGGUUUCCUCUUAAACCAAUGGAUGCAGCCCCUUUUGUUUUCUAUUUUUGUUUGUUUCCUUUGAGACAGGGUCUGGCUCUGUCACCCAAGCUGGAGUGCAGUGGCAUGAACACGGCUCACUGCAGCCUCACAUUCCUGAGCUCAAGCAAUCCUCCCAUCUCAGGCUCUGCAGUAGCUGAGACCACAGGCACAUGCACCCACACCCAGCUAGUUUUUUUGUUUUUGUUUUUGUUUUUGUUUUUAACUAUUUGUAGAGAUGGAGGUCUCCCUAUGUUACCCAGGCUGGUCUCCAAUUCCUGGGCUCAAGCAGUCCCAAAGCACUGGGAUUACAGCCGUCAACCACCACUCCUGGCUUUUUUUUUUUUUUUUUUUUUUGAUACAACCCUUUUUGACUUCCCAAGCAACCCAACUGCAGAAGAAGGCCAAGAACAAUUUUGAUUUUAUCUAGAAAUUCAAUGUUAAUUUUCGGCUUUGAACUGAUUAAAUAAUAGUUCUAAGUCCACUUAUCAAGGAAUUAAAAUGCGGGGCUGGGCGCAGUGCCUCAUGCUUGUAAUCUCAGCACUGUGGGAGGCCAAAGGGGAUGGAUUGCUUGAGUCCAAGAGUUCAAGACCAGCCAGGGCAGCAUAGCAAGACCCCAUCUCUACAAAAAAUACAAAAAAAAAAUUAGCCAGGCAUGGUGGCACGUGCCUGUAGUCUCAGCUAUUUGGGAGGCUGAGGUGGGAGGAUCACCCAAGCCUGGGAGAUCAAGACUGCAGUGAGCUGAGCUUGGCUCACUGCAACCUCUGCCUCUGGGUUCAAGUAAUUCUCGUACCUCAGCCUCCCAAGUAGCUGGGAUUACAGGUGCCCGCCACCAUGCCCAGCUAAUUUUUGUAUUUUUAGUAGAGAUGGGAUUUCACCAUGUCAGCCAGGCUAACUCCUGGCCUCAAGUGAUCCACCUGCCUUGGCCUCCCAAAGUGCUGGGAUUACAGGUGUGAGCCACCAUGCCCAGCCUUAAAUGUAUACUUUUUUUUUUUUUUUUUUUUUUUGAGAUGGAGUUUUGCUCUUGUCACCCAGGCUGGAGUGCAAUGGCGCAAUCUCGGCUCACUGCAACCUCCGCCUCCUGGGUUAAAGCGAUUCUCCUGCCUCCGCCUCCUGAGUAGCUGGGACUACAGGCGCCUACCACCAUGCCUGGCUAAUUUUUUGUAUUUUUAGUAGAGACGUGGGUUCACUAUGUUGGCCAGGCUGGUCUCGAACUCCUGACCUCAGGCGAUCCACCCACCUCAGCCUCCCAAAGUGCUGGAAUUACAGGCAUGAGCCACUGCACCUGGCCAAAUGUGCAUUUUUAAGGUUAUCACCACAGAUUGAUUGGCAUGAGCUCAUGUGCCAUCAGGUGCAUGAAUCAUCCAACAGGACAAACAGCUGGCACAUGGUGGGUACUCCAUACAUAUCUGAUGGAUAAUGAAUGAACCUCUUAACUGCCGUCUGGCCCAGAACUGACCAGGUGGUAAUCAGUGGUCAGUGAGGUGCAACAUGAACUGGGCCCUCUCUGCUUCCCUCCCUUUUCAUCCUGCCUUAUUGAGAUACAAUUCAUAUACCAUAAAAUCCAUCCUUUUAAAGUGUUAUAUGGCAGAUGCGGUGGCUCAUGCCUGUAAUCCUAGCAUUUUGGGAGGCCGAGGUGGGCGGAUUGCUUGAGGUCAGGAGUUCAAGACCAGCCUGGCCAACAUGGUGAAACCCCAUCUCUUCUAAAAAUACAAAAAAAAAAAAAAAUUAGCCAGGCGUGGUGGUGUACGCCUGUAGUCCUAGCUACUCAGGAGGCUGAGGCAGGAGAGUCACUUGAACCCAGGAGGUGGAGGUGGUAGUGAGCCGAGAUUGCACCACUGUACUCCAUCCUGGGCAACAGAGCGAGACUUCGUCUCAAAAUAAAUAAAUAAAGUGUUAUACUUCAGUGGUUUCUGGUAUAUUCUCAGAGUUGUUCAAACAUCACCACUAUCUAAUUUCAAAACAUCUUAUUGCCCCAAAAAAGAAACCCUGUACCCAUUAGCAGUCAUUCCCCAAUCCCUCCUCUGCCCAGCCCUGGCAACCACUGUCUACUUUCUGUUCUGUGGAUUUGGAGUAGAAUCAUAUAGUAUGUGGCCUCUUGUGACUGGCUUCCUUCUCUUGGCAUGAUGUUUAAAGGUUCAUCUACAUUGUAGUGUGUGUCAGGAUUUCAUUUCUUUUUGUGGCUGAAUCAUAUUCCAUGGUAUGCAUGCACCACAUUUUGUCUACGGAUAUUUGAGUUGUUUCCACAUUUUGGCUAUUAUUAAUGCUGCUAUACACAUUUGGCAGAGUGCAGUAGCUCACACCUAUAAUCCUAGCACUUUGGGAGGCUGAGGCAAACGGAUCAAUUGAGGCAGGAGUUUGAGACCAGCUUGGCCAACAUGGCAAAACCCCGUCUCUACUAAAAAUAUAUAGCCAGGCAUGGUGGUGCAUGUCUGUAAUCCCAGCUGUUCAGGAGGCUAAGGCACAAGAAUCGCUUGAAUCCGAGAGGCAGAGCUUGCAGUGAGCCAAGAUCGCACCACUGCACUGACAGUGUUUCAUCAUGUUGGCCAAGCUGGUUUCAAACUCCUGAUCUCAAGUGAGCUGCCCACCUUGUUCUCUCAAAGUGCUGAGAUUACAGGCAUGAGCCCCUGCACCCAGCCUGCAUAACUUUUUUUAAAAGGCAUUGUUGCCUUGUUCCCUUGAAUCACUUUCUCUGGGAAACUAGCUAUCAUGUCAUGAGGACACUCAAGCAGCUCUGGGAGAGACCCCCUGUGGCUAGAAGCUGUGGAUUCUCACCAACAGCCAUGCAAGAUUCCCCAGCCCCAGUCGAGCCUUCAGAUGACCACAGCCCCAGCUGAUAUCUUGACUGCAAUAUCAUGAAAAACCAUGUGUCAGAACUGCUCAGACAUGUUGCUCCCAAAUUCUGGACCUGCAGAAACCAUGAAAGACAAUAAAUGAUUAUUGCUGUUUUAGGUCACUAUGUUUUGAGCUAACUUCUUACACAGCAAUAGAUACUAAUGCAUAUUUUAACCAGUUUCCUACAUUAAAACCUUUCUGUUGGAAAGACCUGGAGUGUGUUUUAUUUUUCUGACUGAUACAAACUCCUGUCCUGAAUUGUAAACCAAGAGUGAAAAAAUAAGAAAAAAGAGUAAAGAAGAUGGAAUAUCUAAAUACAGUCAUGUGUUACUUGAUGACAGCAAUACAUUCUGAGAAACAUAUGGGUGGCAAUUUUGUGGUUGUGCAAACAUCACAGCAUCUACUUACACAAAACUAGACAGUAUAGUCUGCACACCAAGGCCAUAGGGUACAGCCUAUUUCUCCUAGGCUACAAACCUGCACAGCAUGUGACUGUACUGAAUACUGUAGGCAAUUGUGACACACAGGCAUUUGUGUAUCUAAACAUAGAAAAGGUAAAGUAAAAAUAUGGUAUUAUCAUUUCAAGAGACCGCUGCUGUAUAUGUGGUCCAUCGUUGACUGAAACAUUGUCAUGUGGUGCACGACAGUAUUAUAAGGAUGACUUAUAAGUGAAUGUUGGGAAUGUGGCUUAUAGAUGUAGCCAAAUAUGGUUGCACAGAAUACCGAAGCACGGAAUUACACAUACCGAGCCGGUUUUGUGAUUUGCCCUCACAGAUACUUCAGGAUGAGAGUGGGCUUCUGUGGGCAGACCCUGAUCAUAUAAAACUAUGGUAGAAGGGGACAGAAGAGCUGGUUCCCAAGAGAAAGGGGAGGGGAAGUGGCUGGGUAAAGCAUGCCCAGUUUGUCCUUCCAAACUGAGCAUUCAGAUUAAGCUAAUUCUGCUUCCAAAGGAGGAGUGAGCAAGGCCAUGGGAAGACAUCAUGAGAGUUAUCCUAGGAGAACUCAGUCUGGCUUAAGCUAAAAAGGGGUAGAUGUUCAGGUAUAGCUGAAUCCAGGGGCUUAAAGGAUGUUAUCGGGCUUGGUGCGGUGGCUCACGCCUG
rnacentral:lncRNA from 1 species